UUAAAUGUUAAACCUUAUUUUUGUCACGUUAUAAAUGUUUAUAACAAAAUAUUUUGAAGAAAUAGUAGGAAAUGUUCAACGGAAUUAUUUAACACUAUGUAUAAAGUGAAAACAACAAGUUUUACAUUUUCAUAAACUGCCGGUGGAAACAAGAUCGCAUAGGUGAAAUUUUAGGAGAAACAUAUAUCAAGUAUGAAUCAGCUUAUUAUUUUGUGGGCUCUCGUUGGAAUGGUGGCGACACAAGCAAUUCCUCCUCUAGGCGAAACUGAGCCAUUAGAAGGACCAUGCCAAUGUAUUCUGAGUUGCUGUCAACAUCAUUUACAAAUCCGAAGGAUUCCGGGUUUACCUUUCGAUCGUCUUAGAUUUAGCUAUCAGUGUUGCGGGUGUAUUGACUGUCCUCCUCAAGUUCCGAGGAAUCCCGAAAGUGAAUUUCCUGUUGUUACUAUUUUAAACGGACAACUUAUUGAAAUCGAUGGUAGCUGACAUUGUGCCAUUAAAUAUUAUCUUCUU